CCGAAAAUCGACGACUCUCGUCGCCGGCAGCCGCGCACAAAUGCACGGGGAAAGAGGAAGGAAGGGAGGAAAAGGAAGAAAGCUUACCUUGACCUCUGGUGACUUCGUCGGAGAGCAGUCACGGCGAAGACAAGGUGGUGUCCGCGGCUCUAUUUCGGGAAAAACGGAGAGAAGGAGAGAGGGAAGAGGCCGAUGUCUGGUCUC
rnacentral:lncRNA from 1 species